rnacentral:rRNA from 1 species
UACGGGGGGGGCAAGCGUUGUUCGGAAUUACUGGUCGUAAAGGGCUCGUAGGUUGCCAACUAAGUCAGACGUGAAAUCCCUCGGCUUAACCGGGGAACUGCGUCUGAUACUGGAUGGCUUGAGUUCGGGAGAGGGAUGCGGAAUUCCAGGUGUAGCGGUGAAAUGCGUAGAUAUCUGGAGGAACACCGGUGGCGAAGGCGGCAUCCUGGACCGACACUGACACUGAGGAGCGAAAGCCAGGGGAGCAAACGGG